ACCCCAAAGGUUUGGGGUUAUUCCUCUGUGAGAAUGACAAAGUUUCAUGAUAAAAUGCCAACACAGUUAUGAGCUCUUUAAACUAGGUACACUGAAUCAAUAACCCCCCAGAGUAAAUGAUACCCAUAUUGAUUUGGGGUGGGGAAGGAAGACCUAACUCCAGGGAAGACUUGGAAAAUUUUAAUGAAGUUGAAAUGAAAAUAAAGAGAGAAGGAAGAAAGAAAUUUGACUGAAAAACAUGUGUGUGUGUGUGUGUGUGUGUGUGUGUGUGUGUGUGUUUGUACUAAAAACUACUUUCCAGGGAACCUUGAUAGUUGUCAGUGAUAGAGAAAUUACUUAUGGCCCUUGUGUUCAAUGCACUUCAAUUUAAGAAGAGGCUGUGGAAAGGCGGCAUAUAUGCUGCUAAGUAUAUCCCAACUUGGCAAGGCCAAAUGAGUGAUUCAAAACAAGGUGCCAGUGGAAAUUUUACAAUCACAGAUACUUGUAAACUGAUGCUAAGUUUCUGAGAAAUAAGCUUGAAUACUCAGAGAUCUUGAGUUAGAGAAAGGCUAAUUGUGAGCCUAAGUAAUCCAGGAUAAUCUAUAAAAUUACUGGCUUGUGUUGGGAGCUAUAUGCUGUUUUUAAGUGACUUAUACCUAGGUCAGGUUGAAUAUAAAUGUUAUUAUGACAUCAAUAAAAGAAUAAACAUCCAAGGUUAGUCUCCAUUUUAAUUCUCUUAUCAUAUUCAUUCAUUUAUUCACUUAAUAUGUAUUAAGCACCUACUAUGUGCCAAGCAAUGUUCUAGGCACCAGAGAAUCAGAAAUAAAUAAAACAGACAAAAUUCUAUGUGCUGGUUGGACUUACAUUCUCAUGGAGAGAGAAAGAUAAUGAACCAUAUAAAUAUGUAAAAUAGAUGUAAAAUGGAAGAAGUGUUGUGACAGAAAAAUGAGCAAGAAAAUUGGAUAGGAAGUACUGAGGACGGGAAUGGGGGGUUUCAAUUCCAAUUCAUUUGCAGUCACGGAAGAUUCACUUGAUUAGGUGUUAUUGGAGCAAGGACCUAAAAGGCACAGAAGUGAAUCCUGCAGCUCUCUGGAGAAAGUGAUUUUUCCGUGUAGAGACACCAAGCACAGAGUCCUACAGCAGAAGCAUGCCUGAUGAGUUCUAGGAAGAGCAAGGUGGUCCCUGUGGCUGGAGCAGAGUGAGAAAGGAGCAGGAGAUAAUGUCUGAAAAAAAUUAAGGGAUAGGCCAUGUUGGACCUUGGAGGCUAUUAGGAAGAUUUUCGGUUUUACUCUGAGAGAGGUAGGAAGGCACUUGAGUAGCUUCUUGCUUUUGAGUAGAAGAGAGACAGCAUCUGAUUUUUGUUUUAGGAUCACUCUGGAUGCUAUUUUGAGACUGGAACGUAGGCAAUCAAGGGCGGAAGAAAGUAGACCCAACUGUGGUAGUUUUCUACUGCUGCUAUAACAAACCACCACACACUUAGUGGCUUAAAAUGAUACAAUUUGGCUACCUUACAGUUGUGUGUGCGUUAGAUGUCUCACUGGAGUAAAAUCAAGGCCCGUGCAGGGCUGUGCUCCUUUCUGGAUGGAGGCUCUAGGGGAGAAUCUGUCUCUUGCCUUUUGUAGUCUCUAGUGACUGCCCACAUUCCUCUGCUCAUAGACCUUUCCUCCAUCUUCACCAUCUUCAAAGUUUGCAACAUCACAUCUCUGACUCUUCUUCCAUUGUCACAUAUUCCCUGACUUCCUCUGACUCUGAUCAUUAUUCCUUCUUACCACAUCUGGGAAAAAGUCUUCAUUUUUAACAACCCACUUGAUUAGACUGUGCCUACCUGGAUAAUUCAGGAUACUCUCCCCAUCUCAAGGUCCUUAAAUUAAUCACACCUGCAAAUUUCCUUUUGCCACAUAAGGUAACAUACUCACAGGUUCCGAGGAUUAGGGCAUGAACAUCUCUGCAGGAUGGGAGGCAUUAUUCUGCCUACCGAACCAGUUUACUGCAAUCUACCGUCUAUUUAUAUUACUGUUAUUGGUACAUUUGCCUCAUUCUCUUUUUAAAACCACAAACACUUUGCAGGGAUCGGCUUAGUUGGUGUAUCUCACUUCAGUAGUCAUGUCUUAUUUCCAGGACUUUGUACUUCCUACUUUGGCCUGCCUCACUACCUACUUGGCUUGGCGUUUCCAAUAUAAUCAGUGGGAAGGAAAAACAGUAAUAAUGGAAUAGCAAAAUACUUCUAGGACCUAAAAGCAAUAUAGGGUUUGGAAAGCUAUAUGUUCUCUCUGCAUAGGAAUUUUUAUAUUCACAGUGGUAUGAGCACAAAAGGAGGAGAUCACUGGAGAUAUAUUAAAGUAUGGAGACCACCAUCUGUGUGAAGACAGAAGGACAAACCAUAUGGCAUAUGGAGGUAAAGACUACCGAUGGCUUAUGGAUUAUGCAAGUGAUUGAUAUUUGAAAUAAAAAUCUACAUUGAGUUAUCAAAGAUAAUAGUCACUUCCAUUGAAGAAUAAGCAAAACUUCCAAAGACUUCAUUAAUAUCCACAUCAGUGAUAUUUCAAGAGAGACUAACUCAGCAGUGUCAGCUAAUGAAAGUGAAUGAAGAAUGUGAAGAUUAAAAGAUCGUAUGAAUCAAGAAUUAAUUUGUGAAUUUCAUGAGUCAUAAGUGCCCCUAGUGUUUUCCCAGGCCUCACCAAGGCUGUAGGUACAAAUGGUAGAGUUGCCAUCAUGUUCCAGCCACUCUUGGUCCCCAUCUGCAUGUGCCGGGUGUCUCCUCAAAUUCUCUUUCAAGUUGAGUCCUAGCAGGUAUACUUUACCAGUUCAACAGGCCCACUCAAGAAGAUUCAAUCCUAAUAACAGAUACAGCUUAAGCUAAAGCUUGGACACCUCAACUCUUGUAUAAGACCUCAGUCUUUGUACCUGUUUUGUACUAUUAAUUAAACAGUAAAGUUUCUUUUUCUUUCUUUUUUUUUUUUUUACC
rnacentral:lncRNA from 1 species